UACGGAGGGUGCAAGCGUUAAUCGGAAUUACUGGGCGUAAAGAGUGUGUAGGCGGUGCUCUAAGUUUGGUGUGAAAUCUCCCGGCUCAACUGGGAGGGUGCGCCGAAAACUGGAAUGUUUGAACGUGGGAGAGGAAAGCGGAAUUCCUGGUGUAGCGGUGAAAUGCGUAGAUAUCAGGAGGAACACCUGCGGUGUAGACGGCUUUCUGGACCAUUGUUGACGCUGAGACACGAAAGCGUGGGUAGCAAACAGG
rnacentral:rRNA from 1 species